UACGUAGGGAGCAAGCGUUGUUCGGAUUUACUGGGCGUAGAGGGCGCGUAGGCGGCAGAUUAAGUCAGCUGUGAAAUCUCCGAGCUUAACUCGGAACUGUCAGCUGAUACUGUUUUGCUAGAGUGCGGAAGGGGCAAUCGGAAUUCUUGGUGUAGCGGUGAAAUGCGUAGAUAUCAAGAGGAACACCUGAGGUGAAGACGGGUUGCUGGGCCGACACUGACGCUGAGUGCGCGAAAGCCAGGGGAGCAAACGGG
rnacentral:rRNA from 1 species